GUGCCAGCCGCCGCGGUAAUACAGAGGUCUCAAGCGUUGUUCGGAAUCACUGGGCGUAAAGGGUGCGUAGGUGGCGAGGUAAGUCAGAUGUGAAAGCCCGGGGCUCAACCUCGGAAUUGCAUCCGAUACUGCCCUGCUUGAGUACUGAAGGGGUGACUAGAAUUCUCGGUGUAGCAGUGAAAUGCGUAGAUAUCGAGAGGAAUACCAAAGGCGUAGGCAGGUCACUGGGCAGUUACUGACACUGAGGCACGAAGGCCAGGGGAGCGAACGGGAUUAGAAACCCGCGUAGUCC
rnacentral:rRNA from 1 species